rnacentral:rRNA from 1 species
GACGAACGCUGGCUGCGUGCUUAACACAUGCAAGUCGAACGGAAAGGCCCUGCUUUUGUGGGGUGCUCGAGUGGCGAACGGGUGAGUAACACGUGAGUAACCUGCCCUUGACUUUGGGAUAACUUCAGGAAACUGGGGCUAAUACCGGAUAGGAGCUCCUGCUGCAUGGUGGGGGUUGGAAAGUUUCGGCGGUUGGGGAUGGACUCGCGGCUUAUCAGCUUGUUGGUGGGGUAGUGGCUUACCAAGGCUUUGACGGGUAGCCGGCCUGAGAGGGUGACCGGCCACAUUGGGACUGAGAUACGGCCCAGACUCCUACGGGAGGCAGCAGUGGGGAAUACUGCACAAUGGGCGGAAGCCUGAUGCAGCAACGCCGCGUGCGGGAUGACGGCCUUCGGGUUGUAAACCGCUUUCGCCUGUGACGAAGCGUGAGUGACGGUAAUGGGUAAAGAAGCACCGGCUAACUACGUG